CCUACGGGUGGCAGCAGUGAGGAAUAUUGGUCAAUGGACGGAAGUCUGAACCAGCCAUGCCGCGUGCAGGAAGACGGCUCUAUGAGUUGUAAACUGCUUUUGUCCAAGGGUAAACCUGAAGACGUGUAUGCAGCUGAAAGGACUGUACGAAUAAGGAGCGGAUAACUCCGUGCCAGCCGCCGGGGGAAUACGGAGGUUCCAAGCGUUAUCCGGCGUUAUUUGGGUUAAAGGGCGCGUAGGCGGAUUGGUAAGGUAGAGGUGCACUGUCCGAGCUUAACGCGGGACCUGCCUCUUAUACUGGUGAUCUAGUGCGUUGCUGCGGUAGGCGGCAUGUUUGUUGUAGCGG
rnacentral:rRNA from 1 species